UGGGUUUGUGAAACAAUCGGAUUUGAAGAAAUGGGCGUCUCAGAAUGGUGCUGAGAAAUGUCGGUGGCUAUGAAAACAGGGGAUUUUUGUGAGUUUGAUAUGAGUAAGAAAGUGACGAAGAUUAGUAAAAGGAAAAAAGUGAACAAAAAUGGGAUUUUGCGUUCUUUGAAGAGGUUUCUCAUUGAUGAUAUCGCCAUUUUUUUAGGUUCUUGAGAGAGAUCAGAG
rnacentral:misc_RNA from 1 species